UCUUAUUCUGAUAUUUUUGAUAUUUGAUUUUAUUAUAGUAUUUAUAAUGUUUCUUGGCUGUUGAUUCUUGUUAAUUGUUGUUGUUGUUGUUGACGUUGUUGUCUUCAUCGUUAUUUUUAAGUCCAAUAUCUAAGAAAUAAUUUAACGUUUCGAUUUCACAAUUUGACGAUGGAUGACUGUUCUCUUUGAUUAUUGCGUAACGAUGGAUAGAGAGAUAGAGAGACAGAGAAAGGGAGUGACUGGUUUCAAAUCUAUUUCCGUAAAUUGAUUCUGCCUUAAACAGACAGAGAACUUGUACAGACGACGUUUAUCUGCUUCGCUUUUCGUUCACGAUCGACGUGGUCUCUCGUUAUUGAUUUCCCUUCAGGUGUCAGCCACGAAUCCGUUUUCCACGGUGUCCAAUAACAUUCCUCAUCGUCGCAGUAGUUUCUCGCAUUAACACGAUUCGUCGAUUGGUCAAAGAUGAGAACCACUGGCACGCGCAGGUAGAUAAGUAAGUAAGUAGGUAGAUACUUAAUACUUACUAUGAAAACGCUGUAAUAUCUUUUUCGAAGAGGAAAAUGAGUCGAGAAAGAAGGUAUUACAAAGCGAAUUAGGAAUGACCUUGGACUUAUGACAAAGGUAGGCAUUAGGAUGUUAACGACGAUUUUACUUCGGGACAUUUUGGUGGGACUCUCGAAGAGUUAUGCGCAUUUCGUCCUCUGUUCUAGCGUAGGUAUAUACGUGUUAUGUAUGCAUGCAUGUAUGUAUAUGUAUCUAUGACUGUAUAUGUAGCAAACGGGGAAAAGGGAAAUCCGAGAUGGACAAGCGAUUUCUGUCGACGGGUUGCGACGUAUAGAAACGUGAGAUAGUGUGUGUAAGAAAAGGAGAGAGAGAGAGAGAGAGAGAAAGGAUAGAUAGACAGAAAGAAAGAAAGAGAGACAUAGACUGAACGCCUGUUUCUAUUUUUAGCUAAGCGCCGUCCUUCGCUUUUACGUAACGCCACGAAAGAAUAAUGUUUGCCGUUCGCGUGCGGCCUAAUCGGACCGUUGCGUCGCAAACACAUAGUUCUUUGAAAGGCCUACUAAAGCGAUGACGCAUUGAAUUAUUGUAAUUUAUCAUGUAAACGCACGCCUCGUUUUAUUUUCUAUCCUCGUUCUCUCGUUGAUAUAUUUUGUUUUAAAUGAUGGACAUCGGGAUUAACGAGAAGCUUUGCUUUUACAGGAUAUUCGAGCCUAUUCUUUUGGUAGUUUGAUCGAUCGGAGAUACAAUCGUUUAAAGUUACAUUGUGCUCAUUUACGAUUGCUCUUCCAUCUGUUAGAAAAAUUCAUUUUGUUUUGUGUAUGGGCAGUUGAUAAGGUAGAAAACUUCUUGGAUAAAUAUAUAGAUACUGAGAAUGAAUGAUUGAUAAGGAUGUGCGUCAAGAGAUCGUGCAGGAUAGCUUGAAAAGUCUUGAUGAUAAUUUUAUUUAUGAAUAAAAAUCAUGAAAAAAGAAGACAGGAAAAUCUCAUUACGAGCGUUGAAAACUUUUCUAACGGUGAAAAGAAAAGAAAAGAAAGAAAAAGAAAAAAAAAACCGCUGCAUCCUUUCGAAAGAUUCGUUUAGCGUGACGAUGGUUGUCGCGGAAAAGGAUGAAAAGCUUCCCCUUGCAGUUCUCUUUCUUAGGUUUAUGACUUUUUCAACGUACCGGAAAGAGCAAACUCGUCGAGAGGCGAGAGAAAAGUUUCGUUGGCAGCUGAGAGCGUAGUUUUCAUCGCGAGGAUACGCGGUACGUAACGUAAAUUCAAGAGGUGACUAUCAGGGGAAGAGAGAGAGAGUGAAAAAUGAUUGAAAAAUUAAAUCGCUACGUCCUAAACUUCUUCGCGACGACUUUUUCUUUCUAUUCUUUUUUCCUGCUUUUUUAUUUAUUUAUUUAUUUAUUUAUUUCUCUGAUUUUUUCAUUCUCUUCUUACUCUCUCGUGAUUAUUAUUUAUCGAACGGUCCCUUCGAUAGAUAUGAAACCUUUACGUAUUUUUCUUUUCUUCCCUUUUUUUUUUUCUUUUAUAUGAGAUCCCAUUUGAUGACAAGUACAAUAAGAAAUUAUUUUUCUUUUUCUUCUCGAAAAAUUUCCACUGAAAAGUUUCACAUUACUUUUAGCGUUCUUCCUUAAUUCACGUCUAUUACCAUAUAUCUUUCUACUAAUGGACUAGUUAUUAAUCAACGUUACACGGUAUUCUGCGUAUUAUAUCGCUUUUCGUCAUCUUGCGCUGAAUUAGCACGAAUAAUCCGUUGUGGAAAGAUGAUGUUUACCACAUGGGAAAUCAGCUAUCUAUCGACAUACAAUAUCGAUUGGAACUUAUAGGGGAGCUGCUACUUCUCUCUCUCUCUCUCUCUCUUGCUGUCUGUCUGUCUCUCUUUGAGAGGAUUAUCGUCGAUUCGGCUGUCCCACUUUUACUUUAUUUUUUCCUCUUCGUUUUAUUCACUUCUUUUUUUUUCUAUUUCUCUCUCUUUCUCUUUCUUUCUUAUUCAUCGACUCUUCGGCGAAUACAGAGUAUAACUUUGGUAUUACAGUUUGAAGAAGGAGGGUCGACUAAAUUAUAUUUAUGCUAGGACGGAAUACGCUUAAAUUAGGGUGACUAAUUUUAUUGAGUUAACAUUUGCUGAGAGGGUCGAAUAAAAUUAUUAUAUCUACUCUUAGACCUUCUUUAUUACUCACGUGUAAUGUUCUCGCAUAAAUAAUAAGUAAAGUUUUUCUUACGAUUACCAACGAUUUUUAAGAAUUCAAUUGGUAGAGCAAACUUUUUUAUAUACGGACUGGAUGCGAAAUUUUCUCGGGGGUCUUGCAAUCUUACAAUCCGAAACAGAUAGAGAUGGAGAGAGAGAGAGAGAGAGAGAGAGAGAGAGAGAGAGAGAGAGAGAGAGAGAGA